GGGGUGUUAUGUUUGCGAUCUCUGCCUUGGUACCUAAGGAGGAAGAGGAGGAGGAGGAGGGUGUGUUACUGAAUGGUGGCUAAAGCCUCCUCGGGACGGCGCUGAGGUGAAACAGGCUGAACCCGACUGAUGUGGCUCCUCUCUCGGUUGGACCCAGUGCCCUAAGCAGCCGAUGAGAGACCCCCGGCCGCCCGGCUCGCAGGUUACACACAUGAAGUGAACAGAGGGGGCUUGAUCCGGCUGUCCCCUCUCGAGAAGCCUUCAUAAAUUAUUAAAUCACACUUGAUCAAGUUAACAAUGGAGUUAACUACGAGCAGGUAUCUUUUUAGUGCUGAAAUGGACACACUAAUUGUGAUCCACGUGGUAAGGAGCUCCUUCUAAAAUAUGCAGUAGCACAUUUACUGGAAUUUAACAGGCUGCGUACUUUAAAGCCUCUCCUGCCUGUAAUCAUGUGAACAAACCUUGCAAGUCACAGUGCCAGCUCGAGAUGCAGCACAGCCCAGAGCAGCAGCCCUGGAACAGCCCCCACCACUGGGCAAGGGACAGAAAGGAGACACUGACCUGCAACGGGAGGAGAGACCUCGCUACCAGGAUUUGCUCACGGUUUUGCUUCUGGCAACUAACAUUUCCAUUUUUCUCAAAGCUUCUACAUCUGUGUCAUCAGACAAAGCCCCACGAGUGGUGCCAGAGCAAACUGUAGCCUUCAUUGUCAAGUUGGAAGAGAAAAAAUUAUUUACAAGUCAAAAUCCCAGAACUGGCUGCCCAGAGGUCACUCUUUGUUGGCCACUGCUAUGAACCAUUAAGGCUUCCCAAAGCUCUAAAAGGAACGGGACAUUGUGUGGGGCAGAAAAAUCUUAUUGUUUUAAAUUUGCUUAAAUUCUAUUUCAUUGUAUUAUAUGAUUUUUGUCCUACCAGAGGAACAUGAAAGAUGGGAUGUUUCUAUCAUUGCUUGCAUGAAUGACUUAAAUUGACUGUCAGAACUUGCAGGACAAAUCUUUGACCCUUCUCAAGUUUGUUUUAAACUGAAGGAAAUGAUAUUUUAAUUGAUUAGGACUUUAAGCUAUUUUUAAAGGAAAAUUAUUGAUUCAUGCAAUGAAUUUUACUGUUUAAUCAGCCUUCCACCUCAGUAUUGAUAUAUAUUUUUGGUUACAAAUUUAGGUAAAUGUUUAACUAUGUGUUUUAAUGCUGCCCUGCCUUUUUUUUUCCUUUCCUGUUUGAGACAGGCUUUUCUGAAUCAAACCCUCGAAUAUAGUGACAAUUAGGACAAUUUCCAGACACAUCAGCAAGACUUUCUGUACUAGGUGUGUGAAUGUAGAUGUUAAGAGGAAGCACAAGUAAUGACUUUUUUUUCCAUUCACAAAGGAAGCACUAAGACAUCAAGGUUAUUCAACAGAAAUUAAUAAAUGCAGCCUGUAAAGUUAUUAUUUUUCCAAACUGUGAGAAGAUCUCUGAAAUAAUAAAGAUAAUGUACAACAAAAA